rnacentral:rRNA from 1 species
UGGGGAGUAUUGCGCAAUGGGGGAAACCCUGACGCAGCCACGCCGCGUGGGUGAUGAAGGCCUUCGGGUUGUAAAGCCCUGUCGGGAGGGACGAAUGCCUCGCAAGAGGCUUGACGGUACCUCGCAAGAAAGCACCGGCUAACUCCGUGCCAGCAGCCGCGGUAAUACGGAGGGUGCAAGCGUUGCUCGGAUUCAUUGGGCGUAAAGCGCACGCAGGCGGUCCGACAAGUCGGAUGUGAAAUCCCCGGGCUCAACUCGGGAACUGCAUUCGAAACUGUCGGGCUUGAGUGCGGAAGAGGGAAGCGGAAUUCCUGGUGUAGAGGUGAAAUUCGUAGAUAUCAGGAGGAACACCGGUGGCGAAAGCGGCUUCCUGGUCCGUCACUGACGCUCAUGUGCGAAAGCGUGGGGAGCAAACAGG